CUUUAUGGAGUGCUGUUCAAUUUUUCAACAUGAUCGUCCUUUUUUGUGCUUAAUUGUGCAAAAUAAUAGAUGUAUGGGGACGCGCAGUGUGGUGCCGUUGAAUAGUCGCACUGUUCUCUCUUUCUCUUCGGGGUUGGAGGAACAAUUGUCGAUCAGUCGGUUUCGGAGCGUGCACACUGGUACCCGAAAGAUGGUGAACUAUGCUUGAGCAGAAUGAAGCCAGAGGAAACUCUGGUGGAAGUUCGUAGCGGUGUUGACGUGCAAAUCACUCGUCUGACUUGAGUGUAGGGGCGAAAGACUAAUCGAACCAUCUAGUUGCUGGUUCCUUCCGAAGUUUCCCUCAGGAUAGCUGGCAUUUGUUUGUAACAAUUUUAUCCGGUAGAGCGAAUGAUUAGAGGUGUUGGGAACGCAAUGUUCUCAGCCUAUUCUCAAACUUCGAAUGGGUAAGCAAGGC
rnacentral:ncRNA from 1 species